rnacentral:rRNA from 1 species
UACGUAGGGUGCAAGCGUUGUCCGGAAUUAUUGGGCGUAAAGAGCUCGUAGGCGGUUUGUCGCGUCUGCUGUGAAAUCUCCGGGCUUAACCCGGAAGGGUCGUUCGAUACUGUUGAGCUAGAGUGUGGAAGAGGCAACUAGAAUUCCGUGUGUAGCGGUGAAAUGCGUAGAUAUACGGAGGAAUACCUGAGGCGAAGGCGGGUCGUCUGGGCCA